GGAGUGCGCACUGGGCCCGGCGGCCGAGGAAACCCCGCGGGGCCGGGUGCACCCGCCGCCUCCUCCGGCGGCCUGAUCACCGUCAAGGUCGGAGGAAGCCGCCUCCUCCGACGCUAAUGACCGAGCGAGAACUCCGGGAGAGGCCGGAGAGCGGGCCGCGGGCGGUGGCUCUGGAAUACUGAAACCUGACGGCGAUUCCCAGCAGGUGUUUACGUGCAGCGGGCCGACGAGACGCGUGUUGGUUAAAAGGCCUUUCCAACCCCGUCCCCCUCCCCCCUGCACGCCUCCCGCUACCAUCCCCGCCAGCUUCCCGGACCGGGUUAUUUUUGUCCAUUUUUAACUUGGAGCCAAUCUUAGAAACAAGUGAGUGCUCGUCAAAUGGGUUCGACCAGGCGCGACUCGCUUUCGAAGGGAGCGGCCUCCGGUCAGCACCGGGCCGGGAAGCACGAGCCGGCCCUUCCGCGGGAGGCGGAGGCGGCGCCGGCCCGGGCGACUCCCGCCCGCCGGGUUUCGGUUAGACCUCAACAGGAAGUUCCCUCUCCCCCGCGGGAAACCGUGAAACACUCCCACGGGGGCACCCAGAGAGGCGUUAUGUAGCUGUGGCUGUUGCUACCCUACGCAGUACCUUUGUGGAAUUAAAAAGGCACCAGACCCGCAGGGAGAUGCAAACGGGACAGAUACUGCCACUCCGGGGCACGUCUGUUGUGACAUCCUCUUCAGAGACUGGAGUGCGUUGGGCAUCGGAAGCAGCUGCUCCUCUGUGGCCUCAGGAGACACAUUUCCACAGCUCAGCAGGAGCCAAGACCUGGGCAGAGGGUCUUCCUGGAGACAGCCAGAGCAGGAAAAGAGAAAGUGGUGGGUGCUCCAUUUCCUGGUAGGAUUUGCCUGUGCGUACAUUGGUUGGGUAAUAGCCAACUCCAGUUAAUUUCGGGCUGGUCAAGAGUGCUUUUGUUGGUAUGUUUUGUUUAUCCCUACACUUCCUCUUUUGGGAAUUGCAUUUGUUAGUUCCACAAGGUUCUAGUAGGGCGGUUAAUCAUGUGGCUCUGGCUUUCCAGUCACAUUGUUAUGGGACACCAGAAACACCAGAAAACAUAUUAUGGACAGCCCCCUGAAUCGAAGGGAGAGGGUGGUCUCCUCCCCAGUUCUUACCAUGUUCCUGAGAAAUAAUUCAAUUGAGUGACAACAGGAUUGUAGUAAAGCAAGCUAAUUUACUAAGGA